rnacentral:rRNA from 1 species
CAAGGAAUUAAGAGUUUAUGGGGAAUACCUUGGCAUUCAGAAGCGACGAAGGACGUGGUUACCGACGAAACACUCCCGGGGAGCUGGAAACAAGCUAUGAUCCGGAGGAUUCCGAAUAAGGAAACUUUUUAUACUACUUAUUGAAUUCAUAGAUAAGCAAGAGCAAACCUAGGGAACUGAAACAUCUUAGUACCUAGAGGAAAAGAAAGUAAAAAACGAUUCCCUUAGUAGCGGCGAGCGAAACGGGAGAAGCCUAAACUUAAUUACUUAUUUAUUUAAAUAGAUUGAGGGUAGUGGGACGAUUGUUAAUAGAUUAGCACAGUUAAACGAAUAAGUUGGAAUACUUAACCAAAGAAAGUGAUAGUCUUGUAGUUGAAAACUAAAAUAAUCUCAAAUCAGAUCCCAAGUAGCAUGGAACACGUGAAAUUCCGUGUGAAUCUGCGAGGACCACCUCGUAAGGCUAAAUAUUACUGGAUGACCGAUAGUGAAACAGUACCGUGAGGGAAAGGUGAAAAGAACCCCGGGAGGGGAGUGAAAAGAACAUGAAACCAUAAACUUACAACCAGUAGGAGGACGACUAAAACGUCUGACUGCGUGCCUGUUGAAGAAUGAGCCGGCGACUUAUAGGUAGUGGCAGGUUAAGGCAGAGAAUGCUGGAGCCAUAGUGAAAGCGAGCCUGAAUAGGGCAUAUGUCACUGGUUAUAGACCCGAACCCGGAUGAUCUAACCAUGGUCAGGUUGAAGCUUAGGUAAUACUAAGUGGAGGACCCAACCGACUGAUGUUGAAAAAUCAGCGGAUGAAUUGUGGUUAGGGGUGAAAUGCCAAUCGAAUUCGGAGCUAGCUGGUUCUCCUCGAAAUGCGUUUUGGCGCAGCGAUAAAUCUUAUAACUUAGGGGUAAAGCACUGUUACGUAUGCGGGCUGGUAAUUCGGUACCAAAUCGUUGCAAACUAAGAAUACUAAGUGUACAGUUUAUCAGUGAGACUGUGGGGGAUAAGCUCCAUUGUCAAGAGGGAAACAGCCCAGAGCACCAGUUAAGGCCCCUAAAUAAUUACUAAGUGAUAAAGGAAGUGGGAUUGCGAAAACAAUCAGGAGGUUUGCCUAGAAGCAGCAAUCCUUUAAAGAGUGCGUAAUAGCUCACUGAUCGAGUAAACCUGCGCCGAAAAUGUACGGGACUAAGUAAUUUGCCGAAACUGUGCGAUAUAUUACAAAUAUAUCGGUAGAGGAGCGUUCUGUUGUAGAUUGAAGUAUUAGCGUAAGCGGAUAUGGACGAAGCAGAAGUGAGAAUGUCGGCUUGAGUAACGAAAAUAUAGGUGAGAAUCCUAUACCCCGAAAACCCAAGGUUUCCUCCGGAAGGCUCGUCCGCGGAGGGUAAGUCAGGACCUAAGGCAAGGCUGAAAAGCGUAGUCGAUGGACAACGGGUUAAUAUUCCCGUACCAUUAUUUAUUGAUAACGAGGGACGAAGAAGGCUAAGCUGGCCGGAUGUUGGUUACCGGUUUAAGCGUUCGAGAUGAUGAGAAACGGAGAAAACGUUUUGAGUUGAGGCGUGAUGACGAGAUGCUACGGCAUUGAAGCAGUGUAUGUCAGACUUCCAAGAAAAGCUCGGACUGUCAUAAAUAAAUAAUGCCUGUACCAUAACCGACACAGGUGGGUAGGUAGAGUAUACUAAGGGGCGCGAGAUAACUCUCUCUAAGGAACUCGGCAAAAUGACUCCGUAACUUCGGGAGAAGGAGUGCCUUAUUUAUAAGGUUGCAAUAACAAGAUCCAAGCAACUGUUUACCAAAAACACAGGUCUCCGCUAAGUCGUAAGACGAUGUAUGGGGGCUGACGCCUGCCCAGUGCCAGAAGGUUAAAGAAGUUGGUUAGCAUUAGCGAAGCUGAUAACUGAAGCCCUGGUGAACGGCGGCCGUAACAAUAACGGUCCUAAGGUAGCGAAAUUCCUUGUCGGGUAAGUUCCGACCCGCACGAAAGGCGUAAUGAUUUGGAUACUGUCUCGGAGAGGGGCUCGGUGAAAUAGACUUGUCUGUGAAGAUGCGGACUACCUGCACCUGGACAGAAAGACCCUAUGAAGCUUUACUGUAACUUGAAAUUGAAAUUGGACUUUAUUUGCGCAGCAUAGGUGGGAGGCGUUGAGUUUAUUCUUGCGGGAAUUUAGGAGCCAUCAGUGAGAUACCACUCUGGUAAUGUUAGAUUUCUAACUUUGUACCAUGAUCUGGUCAAAGAACAGUUUCAGGCGGGCAGUUUGACUGGGGCGGUCGCCUCCUAAAUGGUAACGGAGGCGUACAAAGGUUUCCUCUGAACGUGUAGAAAUCGUAUCUAGAGUGUAAAGGCAUAAGGAAGCUUGACUGUGAGACCUACAAGUCGAGCAGGGACGAAAGUCGGUCUUAGUGAUCUGACGGUGCUGAGUGGAAAGGCCGUCACUCAACGGAUAAAAGUUACUCUAGGGAUAACAGGCUGAUCUCCCCCAAGAGUUCACAUCGACGGGGAGGUUUGGCACCUCGAUGUCGGCUCAUCGCAUCCUGGGGCGGUAGUACGUCCCAAGGGUUGGGCUGUUCGCCCAUGAAAGCGGUACGCGAGCUGGGUUCAGAACGUCGUGAGACAGUUCGGUCCCUAUCUGCCGUGGACGUUGGAGAUUUGAGGAAAGCUGCUCCUAGUACGAGAGGACCGGAGUGGACGAACCGCUGGUGUUCGGGUUGUGUCGCCAGACGCAUUGCCCGGUAGCUAUGUUCGGAUAGGAUAACCGCUGAAAGCAUCUAAGCGGGAAGCCCCUUCCAAGAUGAGAUCUCCCUGGACCCUUGAGGUCCCUGAAGAGCCGUUCAAGACCAGGACGUUGAUAGGUCGGGUGUGUAAGCGCUGCGAGGCGUUGAGCUAACCGAUACUAAUUGCUCGUGAGG